AGACUGCUCAGGCCCAAGAGACCACUCUGUACCCCUCAGCCAAGGCCAGUCCCACUGUCCCUUCUGCGGAGUGUUGGGGCCCAGGUGUACCUGCACGCAGGCUGCAUGGGUAGGAGUGUGAGCAAUGGCUGCAGAGGAAGCAGAUGGGUGGAGCAGAGGACGCUGGAAGCACUGGCGUCCUAACCGACAGAAACUGACCUUGUGCACUGCUGGCGAAGGGUGAGCACGGGGCUUUCUGCACCCCUGUGUCUUGCUGGAUUAAUGUAGACUGCUUUGUUUGCAGGGCUUAUUGUCAUCCCCAAACCAGGCCAGUUCUCCAGGUGGAACUGUAGUGUAGCGAUCCCACUGCGCUCAGACUCCCCGACACGCGGGACUGCAGGGACCGAGGACGACGGACGGAGAGCCGCGCUGGAGCCACGCCAGGGUGGCAGGCCUCAGGCAGGCAGGCAGACAUCUUGAGGGCUGUGCGGACCCGUGAUGUGGCGCUGUGGCGCCGUGCCGCGCACUCUGCUGCCCGCCCAAAGAAGUUUCCAUUUGAAGUCGGUCUGUUGGGGCUG
rnacentral:lncRNA from 1 species